rnacentral:rRNA from 1 species
UACGGAGGGUGCAAGCAUUAAUCGGAAUUAUUGGGCGUAAAGGGCGCGUAGGCGGAUUUGUAAGUCAGAUGUGAAAUACCGAGGCUUAACCUCGGUGCUGCAUUUGAAACUACAAAUCUAGAGGGUGGGCGGAGAAAACGGAAUUCCACAUGUAGCGGUGAAAUGCGUGGAUAUGUGGAAGAACACCGGUGGCGAAAGCGGUUUUCUAGCUUAUUUCUGACGCUGAGGCGCGAGAGCAAGGGGAGCAAAC